CUACGGGACGCACCAGUGGGGAAUAUUGCACAAUGGGCGCAAGCCUGAUGCAGCAACGCCGCGUGAGGGACGAAGGCCUUCGGGUUGUAAACCUCUUUUAGCAGGGAAGAAGCGAAAGUGACGGUACCUGCAGAAAAAGCACCGGCUAACUACGUGCCAGCAGCCGCGGUAAUACGUAGGGUGCAAGCGUUGUCCGGAAUUAUUGGGCGUAAAGAGCUCGUAGGCGGUUUGUCACGUCUGCUGUGAAAUUUCGAGGCUCAACCUCGAACUUGCAGUGGGUACGGGCAGGCUAGAGUGCGGUAGGGGAGAUGGGAAUUCCUGGUGUAGCGGUGGAAUGCGCAGAUAUCAGGAGGAACACCAAUGGCGAAGGCACAUCUCUGGGCCGUAACUGACGCUGAGGAGCGAAAGCGUGGGGAGCAAACAGGAUUAGAUACCCGGGUAGUC
rnacentral:rRNA from 1 species